rnacentral:rRNA from 1 species
UGCCAGCCGCCGCGGUAAUACAGGAGGAGCAAGUGUUAUUCGGAAUUACUGGGCGUAAAGCGCACGUAGGCGGAUUGGAAAGUUGGGGGUGAAAUCCCGGGGCUCAACCCCGGAACUGCCUCCAAAACUAUCAGUCUAGAGUUCGAGAGAGGUGAGUGGAAUUCCAAGUGUAGAGGUGAAAUUCGUAGAUAUUUGGAGGAACACCAGUGGCGAAGGCGGCUCACUGGCUCGAUACUGACGCUGAGGUGCGAAAGUGUGGGGAGCAAACAGGAUUAGAUA